UGCGAUUAAGGCUUGUUGAGGGGGAGGGAGCAGAAAAUGCUGAGCCAGAAAUUCCUUCUCUCCACCUCAGCCAGCCUCGCCGUCCUUCAUGUUCGAGGAACAUAACAAGCCAGCCAGCCUCGCCCAGCUCAGAGAAGAGGGAACGGCGGGCGGUGCGGUGUUCUGUGACUGAGCAUCUGAAAAUGAUUUCCAUUUCCAAGAAGCGAUUGCUACAGGUCUGGUCUGCAGGGGGCCAUCGCAAAGGAGGGAACCUGCUUUGCACACAGAACGUCGCAGGUUCAAUCUCUGGCAUCCCCAAAUAAAGGAGUUUGCAGGACCGACCCAAGGACAAAGCUAUUGAGAGGUCCAAGCUAUAAAAGCCGAGCUUACAAAGGGACUGUCUCAACCCUGGUGCUGAGGGGAGAACAUAUACAAUCAGCAGGAGGAAUGAUGGCUGGAUUUUAAAGGGCCUGUCCAUCAGAGGGAAUUCCCUUCAAUGAAUGUGUGCAAUGUGUUCUAGCGCACACAGGUGUCUCGGCCCAGUGUACACGACUGAUAUAUGUGCACGCCUCUUGCUGACAGACGGAACAGACCCCAAAGGGCUUCUCGACAGCAAGGCUUUCAGUUAUAAAGCAGGCCUUGUUUUUCAUAAUGUAACCAUAAGCCGUCAGUUUCCCUGUUUCCUUUGCUCCCUCGGCAAUAAGCCAAGCUAUGUCGAAAGGCAUAUUUGUCACGUCUCAGCCAGUUUCUCUGCGAAACUGGCACAGGUCAGGCUAGUUACCUAAUUUAUAUGGCAGGAAUGAAUAAACAGCAUUUUGGCUGGCCUCGCUGAAAGGCCUGUUCCACACUGAGCCACAGUCUCCAGCAAGGCAGAAUCUGGGAGGGACGUCUACUGCCCUGCGCAUAGGAGCAAGACCUCCUGGUGUCUUUGACACCAUCAUUUGCCCGCACAAGGGCAUUAUAUUUGAAUAGAGCCUACAUCCAUACAGUCUGAUGUGCAUGGGGAAUGUCCAGGGUCCAUUUCAGCUUGGGUUUUUUACUUGUUUAAUUUUGUUAAUUUUAUUAGUCUGUUUUUAUA